rnacentral:rRNA from 1 species
GACGAACGCUGGCGGCGUGCUUAAUACAUGCAAGUCGAGCGAGGUCCAUCUGGUGGCAACACCAGUGAAGGCCGAGCGGCGAACGGGUGAGUAACACGUGAGCAACCUGCCCCGAAGUCUGGAAUAACAUCGGGAAACCGGUGCUAAUACCGGAUCGCCCCACCUGACCGCAUGAUCGGGUGAGGAAAGAUUUAUCGCUUCGGGAGGGGCUCGCGGCCUAUCAGCAGUUGGUGGGGUAACGGCCUACCAAGGCGUCGACGGGUAGCUGGUCUGAGAGGACGACCAGCCACACUGGGACUGAGACACGGCCCAGACUCCUACGGGAGGCAGCAGUAGGGAAUCUUGCGCAAUGGGCGAAAGCCUGACGCAGCAACGCCGCGUGGGGGAUGACGGCCUC